UACGUAGGGGCCGAGCGUUGUCCGGAGUUAUUGGGCGUAAAGCGCGCGCAGGCGGCCUCGCGCGCCCGACGUGAAAGCCCCCGGCUUAACCGGGGAGGGUCGUUGGGGACGGCGGGGCUUGAGGGCGGGAGAGGGUGGUGGAAUUCCCGGUGUAGUGGUGAAAUGCGUAGAGAUCGGGAGGAACACCCGUGGCGAAGGCGGCCACCUGGGCCGACCCUGACGCUGAGGCGCGAAGGCGUGGGGAGGCGAACGGGAUUGAGAUACC
rnacentral:rRNA from 1 species